CCUACGGGCGGCUGCAGUGGGGAAUAUUGCACAAUGGGGAAAACCCUGAUGCAGCGACGCAGCGUGAGCGAUGAAGGCCUUCGGGUCGUAAAGCUCUGUCAAAAGGGAAGAAUAAUGACGUUACCGUAGGAGGAAGCCCCGGCUAACUACGUGUCAGCAGCCGCGGAAAUACGACGGGGGCGAGCGGUAAGCGGAAUCACUGGGCGUAAAGGGUGAGUAGGCGGCCCUUCAAGUCAGGAGUUAAAACCCUCGGCUGAAACGAGGUCAGCUCUUAAAACGCUAGGGGUGAAGUGCAGGAUAGGAGAGCGGAAUUCCUAGUGUAGCCGGGAAAUGCGUAGAUAUUAGGAGCAACACCAGGGGCGAAAGCGUCGAUUAGGACUGUAACUGACGCUGGGGCACGAAAGCGUGGGGAGCUAACCGGAUUAGAUGCACCGGUAGUC
rnacentral:rRNA from 1 species